rnacentral:lncRNA from 1 species
GGCUAGUUCGGAGUUCAGCGCAGAGAAGCAGAUACACGAGCUUCUGUUUCCUAGGAGGAUACAUCAAGAAGGGGAGUCACCACAGGCUCAACCCAAAGAGUACUGAUGUAAACAGAGAUGCGAUAUUUUCUUCUUUUUGUAGGAAAUUUAAUCCAGCAACACAAAUAGCAGUAGCCAUCUUAAUCAAGUUUUUUCGAAUUCACAUUGUGAUUCUGAUCUUUGAGCGUGUGCAUAAACAAAAUAAACCAGAGCACUCUGACCA